UACCUUUUUAAAUCCAUUUUUCUAUAGAAUUCAUGAAAUCAUCUAAAAGCCACCAUAGAUAAUUAAAAUGACAGUAAGUUUACUCACAAUGUCUAGAGUGUAAAUUUUCAAAGUACUUUGACUACUGGUCCUCAGAUGCAAUUUUCUUGCCUUUAUCGGAGGACUCACCACCUUGAAAUAGUACAAAAUCGAGAAACUUACUACAUUGGUACUAAAUCGAAAUUAAACUAAUUGAGACUACUAAUGCAUGAUAUGGAAUGCAAAAUGCACGGGUAACCAUCUAAACCCGAUAUUGGCCUAAUUCAUCUUAUCACCCGAUUAAUUAGUCAACGUGUCCAAUUUAGCUCCAAAUUGCUCAAUUUCUUUUCCAAUACCUUAAUUCACCAAACACAAGUCAAAUAACCUAAAAUUUGGCAAAACCAUCUUCAUUUUUCUUUUUAGAAUUUUCAAUCAAUAAUGGUGCAUUAACACUGUGAUUUUUUCUACUACUUUUCCACACCAUAAUUCAUCAUUUUCUAACCAAUUCUCUUAAAAUAAAAAAUUAAAUUCAUCCUCACUCAAUACAAGGUAGGUUUGCCCAUUGAUGGGUGAUGGAGAAAAUGAAUUCUUUUAUUGUUGUUUUGCUUAUAGACAUGGUAAACUAACUAAAAACACUAACAUAACUUGAAAUCAAAUCAAUCUAACAUCAUUCUCUCUCCAUACCCAUUCGGCUAGCCAUGAAUUCACCAUGAAAACAUGAAAUUCAACCAUGGAAAAUAAGGAGAAAUGCUUAAGGAAAAUAGAUUUCAAGUUUAAAUUGAGAAAUCCUACCUUUUUCACUUGUUUUUCUUGAUUUUCCACACUUUUUCUCUUGAAAUUCUCCACCUAGGGUUUGUUCUUUCUUUGUUUCCCUCUUUUCCUUGCUUGGC
rnacentral:lncRNA from 1 species